CGUUGGUGAACCAGCGGAGGGAUCAUUAGCGAGUCUCUUUUUAGUGCUCCAAACCCCUGUGAACAGUCCCAAAAGACGCUGCCUCGGCGGGUUAGCUGGUUUUCCAGCGUGUCCGGCCGGUUAAUUCAGGCCGGGCGCCCGCCGGAGGGAGCAACCAACACUCUUAUUUUAAAAAUUAUUUCAAAACCUUUUUAAAAAAAAAAUAAGCAAAACUUUCAACAACGGAUCUCUUGGCUCUGGCAUCGAUGAAGAACGCAGCGAAAUGCGAUAAGUAAUGUGAAUUGCAGAAUUCAGUGAAUCAUCGAAUCUUUGAACGCACAUUGCACCUAGUGGCAUUCCGCUAGGUAUGCCUGUUCGAGCGUCAUUUCAAGCCUCAGGCCCCAGGGCACUGGUGUUGGGGAUCUGCGGCGCCGCCUCCGGGAAGGGCCGCAGUCCCCCAAAUCUAACGGCGUGCUCGCUGUCUAGCUCUUUGCGUAGUGGUAUUUUCAAAUAUUUUCGCACCGAGUUGCAGCGUGGCGUAGCCGCUAAAUUUAUCUUACCAAGAAAAAAAAGCUUGACCUCGAAUCAGGUAGGGUUACCCGCUGAACUUAAGCAUAUCAAUAAGCGGAGGAAAAGAAACCAACAGG
rnacentral:rRNA from 1 species